UUUCCAGUCUCUCUCAGCUCCUCCUGAAUCUACAGACGUAAAUGACGAUCCCUUCAUUUCUCUCUCCUCUUUUGAUGGCGUGAGAAAAUCUGUCCGUCAGCUGAGAGACAUACUGGAGGAUUUCUGCAAAGAGGAGCUCAAGAAGAUCUCUGUCAGAGUCACUUUCACCAACAUUGUUCCCAGGACCAGGAACGACUUCCUACAAUAUUCCCAUGAGUUCACUCUGGAUCUGAACGCAGUGAAUAAACUCCUCUGUCUGUCUGAGAAUAACAGAGUGAUUACUAGCACUGACACAAAGCAGUCGUAUCCUGAUCAUCCAGACAGAUUUGAUGGAUCGAAUCGUCAGGUGUUGUGUAGAGAGAGUGUGUGUGGACGCUGUUACUGGGAGAUUGAGUGGAGUGGUGAUGUGUUUAUAUCAGUGUCAUAUAAGAGCAUCAGCAGGAAGGGAGAGGAUAAUAAGUGUUUGUUUGGACGUAAUAAUCAGUCCUGGAGUUUGUACUGCUCUUCCAUCUUUGGUUGCUCAUUCAGACACAAUAACAUAGUGGCUAAACUCCCAGUAAAGUCCAUCAGCAGUAGAAUAGGAGUGUUUGUGGAUCACAGUGCAGGAACUCUGUUCUUCUACAGCGUCUCUGGAGACACAAUGAGCCUCAUCCACACAGUCCAGACCACAUUCACUCAACCGCUCUAUCCUGGGUUUGGGGUUUAUGUUGGAUCAUCAGUGAAACUGUGUUUAUGAAUCAGAAUAGACUAUAGAGAGAUUCUACCCAUAAUGCUUUGAGCUCAUGAUAAAUCAGUAACAGUGAGAUGUUAUAGAAUCUCUUAUUUUCUCUUCAUUACAUUAAUACUACAGCUGAACUUCUGUCAGUGAAAUAACAUGUCAGAAUAAAUGUGUGUAAUGAAUCCUCAUAGAGACACACUGUAAAAAAAAAAAAAUCCUAAUUUUACAGAAAAUUACUCUAAAUUGUUUGCAGUAUUUUUCUGUAAUUUUAAAUUGUUUAAAACUAUGUAAAAUUACAAACAAUAUCUGUAAAUUAACAAUUAUAUCAUUAAUGACAAAUUACAGUAAUUCUCAUUUUUUAUACAGGAAAAUAACGUUUUAUACAGUAUUUUUCUGUUUUCUUAAAUUACAGACAAAUUCAUGUAAAAUUACAAACAAUAUCUGUAAAUUAACAAUGACUAUUAUUUUACGGAUUAUAUCAUUAAUGACAAAUUACAGCAAUUUUCAGUUUUUAAUAUGGGAAAAUUUCUGUAUUAUUUAUACAGUAUUUUUCUGUUUUCUUAAAUUACAUACAAAUUAAUAUAAAAUUACAAACAAUAUCUGUAAAUUAACAACGACUAUUAUUUUACGGAUUAUAUCAUUAAUGACAAAUUACAGCAAUUUUCAGCUUUUAAUAUGGGAAAAUUACUGUAUUAUUUACAAGUUUUUUUUUUUUCUUCUGUUUUCUUAAAUUACAUGCAAAUUCAUCUAAAAUUACAUGAAUAAUCACAACCUGCAAUUAAACAUGUAGCUCAUUAUAUGAAAGAGUGAUAUAUCCAUACUAACAAUUUAACAUUCUUCUUUGUAAUUUUAAUCUUAUUGGUUUCAUUUUUAGCUGUAUUUUAAAAUCUGUAAUUAUGGGUACAAAGCAAGCUAUGUAGCAAACUAAAUAUCAAACAAUACAGUAUGUUUGUUUUUAAAGUGUACAAAGCUGCUCUGCUCUACACGUUUAAACUUUCAGGCCUUUGCCCACACACAAGUUGAUCUAAAUUUUGAAUAGAGAUGAGAAAAGCACGCAUAUUCUUUACAAGCUCAAACUCCCCAAAAAACCCAUCAACUUUCACGAACACACUCAUGGCAUACUGCCAUUUUAAAGCAUUGGUGGUCAUAUGUUAUCUGAUCAGAAUAUGCAUUUGUUAUUUGGAGUGUGUGAGAGAAACCCUAUACUGAGACAUUUGAAACUAGAAAAAGCAGACUUGAAUGCAUCCCAGCAUGCAAUGUGUGGAAAACACACAUUCAAUGGAAAAUUUAUAAUCAUCAGUUUGUCAGAUAUGCACGUCUGUAUUGAAAACACCUUGUAUUAACCACUGACUCAUCAUGCUGCUGCAAGCACUACAGUGUUGAAAUGAAUGACAAAACGUUCAUUACUGAACUGAGUUCUCAAUUAUUGUUGAAUUAGUUAGACAGCAUUUCAAAAUUUAUUUCAUAAACUUUGGAUUUUGGAAUAAAUAAUCUGAGAACAGUCAUGUACACUCGUUCGACAGAGACGACAUGAAAACGCCACCAUCAUGAUUUUGGAUCUACUGUGAAGCUUUUAUAUGGAGCUGAAGUUUUGGAAAUGAAAAUCGUCUGCCACAUGAUAUUCAGAGGAAUGUACUGAACUAGAUCUGAUUGAGACGCUCUCAGAGAUUUUACUCCUGGUGAAGUGACUCAGAUCCACGUGACAUACGUUAUAAAGAUGGAGUUUAUUAAAGAGGAGACUGAAGACAUGAAUAUUGAAGAAACUGAGAAACAAACAGGCACUUCCUUGUGGAAAACUUGGAGCCAGUGUUACACCACAAUCAUGACCCCACUCCAGGACGUUUUGCCCGCCGGGUUGGGCCCCUGUGCUCCACCUCGCUGCCCCACUGCGGGAACGUCUGUAGUCUCAUUGGUGCCACUCCAAGUGUCUUGGAGUCUGGCUAGCACCAGACACAAAAAGACACAAAACUAAUUCCCUAUGAGUGCUCUGUAAAAGAAUUUGUGUGUAAAAUAUGUAGUCUGUCUUUGCAAAGUGAUAUUGCCAACCACUGGCCAGGCCAUGAAUAAUACAGUGUUUUAGUCAUUUUCGCAAAUCCGUGUGAACGGAGAUCACUUUGACAAGUUGUCAUCUGUACAAUGGGAAAAAAAAUAAGUGUCCGUUUUUAGCACAUUGUUGUGUAAACGUACCCUAAGGCCCCGAGUCCACCAAAGCGUUUUUAGCCAGCUGAAAACGCUAGACGCUCUGCUUAAAACGCCUAUCUGUGAGCGCUUCGGAAGCGCAACGUUUUUUUCAGUUGAGACGCUUUGUUGCUAUGAUACGGAAUAUCCGUGGCACUGUUACUUAUAACUGAUUUUGCAGGUAAUCUGUUUCAGACUUAGCAAGUACUCUACAUUGCGUCAACAUUUUAUGUCUGUUCGGAGACCAGCAAUAUUAAUUUCACAUCCAUUUUGUUUCCCAAGACACAAAAGCUGCAUUUACGGACCUGAUGGCACUGAAAGAGGAGAGUGAAGUACUGAAUGAAAUGGAAGUGAAAGAUCAACAUAAUCAUCAUGAUUUAAUUACUGGGGAAACACCUUGUAGUUGCUCACAGACUGAAAAGACUUCCUCACAAAAAAUGGCUCAAAAAAAAGGGACUAGAAAUAAUUUUGUCUGCCAACAGUGUGAAAAGAGUUUCAAUAGAAAAGGAAACUUUGACAGGCACAUGAAAAUUCACAAUGGAAAGGAUCCUUUUACAUGCAAACAGUUUGGAAACGGAUUCAAUCAAAAAGAAAGCCUUAACAGGCACAUGAGAACUCACAAUCCUUACACCGGCCAACAGUGUAGAACAAGUUUCACUCUGAAAGGAAGCUUUUACAGACUCAUGGAAAUUCCCACUGAAAAGCCUUACACCUGCCCUCAGUGUGCAAAGAGUUUCACUCAGAAAGGACACUUUAAAGACCACAUAAGAAUUCACACUGGAGAGAAGCCUUUCACCUGCCAACAAUGUGGAAAAAGUUUCAACCGAAAAGGAAUCCUUAACAGACACAUGCAAACUCACAAUACAGAGAAGCCUUACACGUGUCCUCAGUGUGGAAAGAGUUUCAGUGAACAUGGAAACUUUGAAGUCCACUUGAGAAUUCACACUGGAGAGAAGCUUUUCACCUGCCAACAUUGUGAAAAAAGUUUCAACCAAAAACGAAUCCUUAACAGGCACAUGAACAUUCACACUUGGAAGUAGCUGUUUAUAUAUGGUCAGUGUGGAAAGAGUUUCAGAUGUACAGAAAACUUAAAGUACCACGAGUACUUGUGUAUGAGAGAACGUGUGGAAUGAGUUUUACAGACAGGAAACACUUUAAAAAUCAUGUAAUAACUCACACCAGAGAGAAGCCUUUCAUGUGCCAUCACUGUGGAAAGACUUGCAGAAAUAAAGCAAACCUUGAGGUUCACAUAAGUGUCCUGAUAUACCCAGGCAGAGCUGUUUUUGGUUCUUUGCUUAGAAGUUAAAAGAAGUUCAAAAUAUGUGAGCAGCGGACUGAGGGGGGUUUCACACUGACAGUUUAGUUUGAAACGGGGCACGGUGUGCACCGGGGUACCGAACCCCAGAGUUCUUGCGGGGAGGAGAAAAUCAUCCCAUGUUUUACUCGCCCUCAAGCCAUCUUAGGUGUAUAUGACCAUCUUCUUUCAGAUGAACACAAUCAGAGAUGUAUUUAAAAAUAUACCCACAGGAGAUUCUGGAAAGACGGAGAAUACUGAUCCCACUUAUGGAGCAAUUCCGCCAAAAUGUAAGAAAAGCUGUCCUCACUGUAGAUCGACUAUAUGUUGAUGGGAAGCUAUACAGGAAUGACAGUAUAUCAUGGUUAUAAUCACUAAGAAAGAGGUAAAGGGGACAAAAUGUCGCCAAUGAAUGCUAAAUAAACACCUGUCUGCCACAUAAAAAAAAA